rnacentral:rRNA from 1 species
UACAGAGGGCCCAAGCGUUGUUCGGAUUCAUUGGGCGUAAAGGGCGCGUAGGUGGCGCCGUAAGUCGGGUGUGAAAUUUCGGAGCUUAACUCCGAAACUGCAUUCGAUACUGCGGUGCUUGAGGACUGGAGAGGAGACUGGAAUUCAUGGUGUAGCAGUGAAAUGCGUAGAGAUCAUGAGGAAGACCAGUGGCGAAGGCGGGUCUCUGGACAGUUCCUGACACUGAGGCACGAAGGCCAGGGGAGCAAACGGG